ensembl:lncRNA
GAAGCCCCGCACUGUGUGAUGCUAGACUCUAGCCUUGACCUCUCCAGCCUGUCUAGAUUUGGGGACCCCUGGACAGGUGAUGAGCAUCUGUCCUGAGGGCUGGAACAGGGGCACAGCCCCCUGUCCCAAGUUCUCUAGACUUGUCACCCACCCCAUGCCCCUUGUAUGCUCCCUGGUGGUUCAGUCCAUCUGGGUGUUCUCCAGGACCUCAUGUCCCACAAGGUAAACCCAAACCCUCCCGAUUGAUUGGUGCUGUUCUCUAGGUUGAUUCACCAGCCAGAAUCAGUUAAGAUUUAAGGAGAAUGGAGUAGAUGUAAGAGUUCCUGUUGCCUAUUAAGGACUGGGUGCUUGCCUGGUCUGUGGAAGCGCCUGGAAGCUGGUCCUAGAGACCUCUGGUCUCCAAUCCCUGCUCUACCCUGCUGCAGGGACAUCCCCAGGUUAAGUGCAUGGUCCAGGGAACAGCUGAGAGGGCAGGAGCAAGGGGGUGUCCAUGGGUGGGAGUGCCCCUGGAAGUUCUUUCAAUCUAUGUGCAGUUCUCAACUCCCACCUUCAGGAUCCCUCAGGAUUGGGAUGGUGGGGAAUGUGGCUCUGAGGACGGAUUUUGUUAAAUUCAUAAAUCAUCAAAUUCAGCCAUUAAAGUAUACAACUCAGUGGUUUUUAGAGUAUUUACAGAGUUGUGCAGUUGUCAUCACUAUUUCCACAGCGUUUCACUACCCCACAAAGAAAUCUCUUACCCAUCAGCAGGUGCCCCCAUGGCCCUCUCCCCCAGCCCCUGUGGACCACUGGACCACUUGCUGUGUCUAUAGAUCUGGCUAUUCUGGACAUUUCAUAUAAAUGGAAUCAUACAAUAUGUAGCCUUUUGUGUCUGACUUCUUUCACUUAGCAUAAUGUCCAUCCAUGUAGUAGCAUGUACCAAAAUUUCGUUCCUUUCUACGGUGGAAUAAUAUUCCAUUGCAUGUAUAGAUCACAUUUUGUUUAUCCAUUCAUCUGUCCAUAGACACUUAGACUGUUUCCGCCUUUUUGCUAUUGUGAGUAGUUCUUCUAUGAAUAUGCACGUGCAAAUAUUUGAGUACCUGUUUUCACUUCUCCUGGGUCUAUACCUAUGAGCAGAAUUGCUGGGUCAUAUGGUAACUCUAGGUUUAACUUUUUGAGGAACUACCAAACUGUUUUCCACAGCAGCUGCACCAUUUUACAUUCCUUCCAGCAACAGAGGAGUGUUCUAAUUUCUCCACAUCCUCGCCAACACUUGUUCUUUUCCAUUUUCUUGGUAACAGCCAUUCCAAUGGGUGACAAGUAGUAUCUCAUUGUGGUUUUGAUUUGCAUUUCCCCGAGGGCUAACGCCAUUGCACAUCUUUUCAUGUGCUUGUUGGCCGUUAGUCUAUCACUUUAGAGAAAUGUCUGUCUAAGUCCUUUGUCCAUUUUCUAACUGGGCUAUUCGUCUUUUCAUUGUUGAGUUAUGAGUUCUUUACGUAUUCUGUAUACUAGACCUGGUAUCAGAUAGGCAAUUUGCAUUCAUUUUCACCCAUCAUGUGGGUUGCCUUUUUGCUUUCUCGAUGCUAUCAUUUGAAGCACUGAAGUUUUAAUUGUGAUGAAGUCAAGUUUAUUGAUUUUUUUUAUUGCUUGUGCUUUUGGUGUCCAAGAGCAAAAUUUGAUUCCCAGUAAGCCUGCAGGAAGCCGCUCAUCAGCAGCAGCUGCCCUCUCCUUUCCUCAGUGCCAGCGCCGGGUCGAGAGGACACCACACUGCACUGCAGAUCAGCAGUCCAUCUGACCUCUGGGUCCUCCUGUCCCUUAUAAAGCUGGCUGAAGAGAGCUUUGUAAUCUCAUUAUGACGGAAUUUCCCAGGUGGCUGGGAAGGCAGCCUGUAAGCGGGAGUGUUAGAAAGUGAGUGUGAACCUAUGAUCCACCAACCCAGGAUGUCACCCAACCUGGCUGUAGGGUUUUCUCCACUCAGAUCGGACAGCCUGGGGAGCUGCCAAGAGGGAACAGACUUGUUUGUUCUUGAAGCUCUUCAGUGCAGUGUAAUACUCAGAGUUUUUGUCUUGCAGCAUGGACACGAAGGAGGACCUGGGGAGCCAGCUGGCCCUAGAACAAGCAGCGAUAACAGCCAAAUGCAAUCAGGGAUGACAUGCAGGGUGCCUGCAGAACCUGCGGAGGAUGCUGACCUCUCACUAUACAAAGUCACCGACCAUCUUGCUUUUCUGCACAGAAACUCCGGGAGACUGGGCGAGCAGAUAAGUGGGUCAAGAUGCUAAAGGAAUGGUAUAAAUACCAGAGCAGCAAGAAGAUAGAGAACUGAGCACUAGAUAGGCGGUAUGCUCUCCUGAUCCCAAGGAGGACGGGCCUGGAUCCCCAGGGCAGCUCGCAGCUUCCCUGACCACCCCACAAGGGUCACCUCGCCUGGAGAGGAUCUGACGCCAGAGCCGGAGCCAGCCCAGGCCCAGGGCCUCAUAGGGAAGGAUAAGUCAGGACCAUAGUUCACAAUGUCCCUCGAGCCCUCGUCCACUCUUAAUUGUGGGAGACAGGGCCCAGUUCUGGGUAAACCCAACCUCUUCUGAGAAACCACGGAGCUGAAGACUAGAAUCUUCCAGAUGCGUCCGACUCAUCUCCUCCGCAGCGUCGCCCUGUGGCCUGUUUCACCAGAGCUUUCUUCUAUCCUGUAGAAGCAUCGAAGGUCUCCAAAGGAAUCCUUUGACAGAUGCAAGAUCAGGUGUGGUCUCUCCGAUUGGACGUUCAGAAGCUAAAGGCAGAGAAUGAAGGAAAACCUGAGGUGGCCCUUCUGCACCCGGCAGAGGCAGCGCUGACAGGCCAAGCCCUCCCAGGAGCUUGCUUAAGGGAGCAGGUCGUGUACCACGGGGACCCCUCGCCUGUCCUGAGCACUUUCCUGGUACCUCCUAGACUCAACGGCUUGGGGCACUCCUGCUGGGAAAGCCCUGCCCCUCUCUAUGCUGCCUGGGCCUCAGUUCCGCCCAGCUCAGCCCAGUGCAGACAUUGGAUCCAGGGAUGGAUGGACGCCACUGGAAUCAAACCAAGGCCUCUCAGACACCUGAGUGGGGGCCAGAGUCACACAGCAAAGGAUAGAAACCAGGGAAAAAGAGCAAGGAAGCACACGCACACAAACCAUAAAAUGAGAAAAGCAAAACCAAACAGACGUGAACAACAGAUAUAAGUUAAAUUGAAUAAACAGAAAAAGACUUAAUUGAGACAAUAAACGGGUCUUUUCCCAUCCCCCCAGUGAGGAGCCUGCACCUGGCUUCAUUCUCAAUGCUCACGUCUCCCACUAGGGUGCCCCCCAGGUCGUACUGCCUCAGGGAGGGAAAGGGCAGUGAUGCACCCAGACCAAGUGGGACCGGCCCAGCGAAGCCUGGACACUGGGAAAUGCAGCUGGGAGAGGGUAUAGAGAUGGUCACACUUCAAUGAGCAGCCCAAGAAUAGAUAAUUGCUUAAUGUGGUAAAUAGAUAUGGAUGUAGACACCCAUUGAUAAUUGUGGAGCAACAACCAGCAUCAUGCUUAAUUGUGAAACCCUCAAAGGGCACCCGUAAAACUGGAGACAAGAAGAGGGUCUAGUUACCCAUUGCACAGCUUGUUACCGUGGUCCUGCAAAUGGGCUCAGUGCGAUGGGACAGGAUAAGUAAGGCAUUUAGAGAAGAGGCAGGAUUAUUUUUGGCUGUGGAAUGCUGUCCUGGCAAGAGGGUGAGCCCAGACCCCUCCUGCUGUACUGGUGCCGGGCCGGGUGUGGCCAGCUCCUUCUCAGGAAGGAAGGGGCAGCACGUGGACAUCUGCACCCUACCUGAUCCUGCAUCCCAGCCCCCAGGCUCCCUGCAAGUUCUGACAGCCCGAGUCUGUUUCUGAACUUAUGACCAGGAACCCAGCCAGAUGCAUCGAGAUACAGAUGAAAAUCCAGACAAACUGCCUAAUAGCUGAUGAUACCGCAUAUGAAAGGACACAAGGGACUCAGCCAGGGGCCCAGUUGGCAAAAAGAGAGUUCACUGAAGUAGCAGAUUGUUACUACUUCCAGCAUCCUCAGCUAUAAUUUAUCUAACACAAUGGUGCCGCACCAAUAACGAAAACCACCACCUUAUUUACCAACUCCUUAGUAAAUAUUGUAAGAAAAAUGUUCUGUUCUCCAUAGCAGCAAAACGUAGGAGCAAAAAGAAUAUCGAAACUGAAACUACAAAUUAUGUAACAGAUAAUGAAAAGACCCACAAAACAUGUGUUUUAUUUUUUAAAGACUGACAUUAAGGAACUAAGUAUUCAACUUUAAAAUUGAAGGAAA